UCCUACGGGAGGCAGCAGUGGGGAAUAUUGGACAAUGGGCGCAAGCCUGAUCCAGCCAUGCCGCGUGAGUGAUGAAGGCCUUAGGGUUGUAAAGCUCUUUCGUCAGGGAAGAUAGUGACGGUACCUGGAGAAGCAGCUGCGGCUAACUACGUGCCAGCAGCCGCGGUAAUACGUAGGCAGCAAGCGUUGUUCGGAGUUACUGGGCGCAAAGGGUGUGUAGGCGGUUCUUUAAGUUUGGUGUGAAAUCUCCCGGCUUAACCGGGAGGGUGCGCCGAAUACUGAGGGACUAGAGUACGGGAGAGGAAAGUGGAAUUCCUGGUGUAGCGGUGAAAUGCGUAGAUAUCAGGAGGAACACCGGUGGUGUAGGCGGCUUUCUGGACCGUAACUGACGCUGAGACACGAAAGCGUGGGUAGCAAACAGGAUUAGAUACCCUGGUAGUCCACGCCCUAAACGAUGCAUAUUUGGUGUGGGCAGUUCAUUCUGUCUGUGCCGGAGCUAACGCGUUAAAUAUGCCGCCUGGGGAGUACAGUCGCAAGGCUGAA
rnacentral:rRNA from 1 species